rnacentral:tRNA from 3 species
GGGGGAUUAGCUCAGCUGGGAGAGCGCGUGCAUGGCAUGCACGAGGUCAUCGGUUCGAUCCCGUUAUCCUCCACCA